AAAAAAAAAAAAAAAAAAUCUUAUCGCAGAAGAAGAUUGCAAAGAAAUGAGCUGGAUUGAGUCCAUUCUAUUCUUCUCAGGCCUAAGUGAAGGAAGCUCUGUAUCCGACUUGAAAAACCGAUAUUUGCAAGGGAAGCAUUACUUCAAGGCCAAAUCAGACUAUGUGAGGAGGGAAAUUUCUUUAGCAGGUAUAAAAGGUGCCUUGGAUGUAAUUGAAAUGGAGCCUAAGUGUCUGUU
rnacentral:misc_RNA from 1 species